rnacentral:rRNA from 1 species
CGUAGGUAAUCUACCCCAGAGUCUGGAAUAACCGGCCGAAAGGCUGGCUAAUACUGGAUAGGGCGACGGAAUCCGUAAUGGGUUUUCGGAAGGGAGCUUGUAAGAGCCCUCGCUUUGGGAUGAGCCUGCGUCUCAUUAGGUAGUUGGUGGGGUAAUGGCCUACCAAGCCUUUGAUGAGUAGCUGGUCUGAGAGGAUGAUCAGCCACACUGGAACUGAAACACGGUCCAG